rnacentral:misc_RNA from 1 species
UCCGUAGGUGAACCUGCGGAAGGAUCAUUACAGAAAGUAAACGCGGGUCAAACCGCGAACUUUUAAACCUUUGACGAUUGACUCAUGUUGCCUCGGCGGGCUCGCCCGCCAGAGGAUACAUCAAAACUCUUGUUUUAACGGUGUUGUCUGAGCUACAAGCAACGAAUCAAAACUUUCAACAACGGAUCUCUUGGUUCUGGCAUCGAUGAAGAACGCAGCGAAAUGCGAUAAGUAGUGUGAAUUGCAGAAUUCAGUGAAUCAUCGAAUCUUUGAACGCACAUUGCGCCCCUUGGUAUCCCGAGGGGCAUGCCUGUUCGAGCGUCAUUUCACCACUCAAGCCUGGCUUGGUGUUGGGCGACGUCCCUUUUGGGGACGCGCCUCGAAACGCUCGGCGGCGUGGCACCGGCUUUAAGCGUAGCAGAAUCUUUCGCUUCGAAAGUCGGGGCCCCGUUUGCCGGAAGACCUACUCGCAAGGUUGACCUCGGAUCAGGCAGGGAUACCCGCUGAACUU